UCUUUGAUGGUCUAACGGUUAUGAUUUCCGCUUGUCACGCGGGAGACCGGGGUUCGACUCCCCGUCAUAGAU
rnacentral:tRNA from 1 species